rnacentral:tmRNA from 1 species
GGGGGCGUGUGGCUUCGACGGGGACGUGGAUUGCGAGAUGGCGUGUCGAGCCCCGGGCUCGUAAAACCGGGAAAGGCAUUAACUGCCAACCACUCGAGCCAACCGGCUCUGGCCUACGCCGCCUGAUCUGAUCAGGAGGUAGUGCCAAAAGCUCAGGCCCAGGCCUGACGUCGACCGGGCGGGCGCCCACGACGCCCGGAUCCGACGUUAAUACAGCGGGCUAGCCUGGCGGUGGCGCCGCAGCGCCGCUGGGGACGAAAACUGCAGCUGGUCUCGGCGGAGCCCGUCCGGAGGCGCCGCCGCGGCGAGAUCAAUAUCCGGGCUACACACGUAGAGGUCUUGUGGGACGCGUCUUCGGACCCGGGUUCGAUUCCCGGCGCCUCCACCA